CCUACGGGAGGCUGCAGUGGGGAAUAUUGGACAAUGGGGGGAACCCUGAUCCAGCCAUGCCGCGUGUGUGAAGAAGGCCCUCGGGUUGUAAAGCACUUUCAGUGAGGAAGAACGCCUGGUGGUUAAUACCCAUCAGGAAAGACAUCACUCACAGAAGAAGCACCGGCUAACUCCGUGCCAGCAGCCGCGGUAAUACGGAGGGUGCGAGCGUUAAUCGGAAUUACUGGGCGUAAAGCGCGCGUAGGUGGCUUGAUAAGCCGGUUGUGAAAGCCCCGGGCUCAACCUGGGAACGGCAUCCGGAACUGUCCAGCUAGAGUGUAGGAGAGGAAGGUAGAAUUCCCGGUGUAGCGGUGAAAUGCGUAGAGCUCGGGAGGAAUACCAGUGGCGAAGGCGGCCUUCUGGACUGACACUGACACUGAGGUGCGAAAGCGUGGGUAGCAAACAGGAUUAGAUACCCUAGUAGUC
rnacentral:rRNA from 1 species